rnacentral:rRNA from 1 species
UACAGAGGUCUCGAGCGUUAGGCGGAAUCACUGGGCUUAAAGCGUGUGUAGGCGGAUUGGUAAGUACCUUGUGAAAUCCCACGGCUUAACCGUGGAACUGCUUGGUAUACUGCUUAUCUUGGGCCACUUAGGGGUUACCGGAACAAACGGUGGAGCGGUGAAAUGCGUAGAUAUCGUUUGGAACGCCAAUGGUGAAAACAGGUAACUGGGAGUGUGGCCGACGCUGAGACACGAAAGCCAGGGAGCGAACGGGG